rnacentral:rRNA from 1 species
GCCCGCCGCGCCCCGCGCCCGGCCCGCCGCCCCCGCCCCUCUGUGAUGCCCUUAGAUGUUCUGGGCCGCACGCGCGCUACACUGACGGAGCCAGCGAGUAUYAACCUUGGCCGAGAGGUCYGGGAAAUCUUGUGAAACUCCGUCGUGCUGGGGAUAGAGCAUUGUAAUUAUUGCUCUUCAACGAGGAAUUCCUAGUAAGCGCAAGUCAUCAGCUUGCGUUGAUUAC